GGGGUUGUGGCUGAGUGGUGCAGUCCUUUCCUAGCAUGCAAGAGGUCUGAGGUUUGAUCCCCAGCACCA
rnacentral:tRNA from 1 species